rnacentral:lncRNA from 1 species
UGCACGCUUGCCAAAGGGCUGUCCUUGGUACGACCAGCGUUCCCAGGAACAGUAGCUCACACGGAGGGGCUUUGUGUCCCUGUAAGACGUGAUGUUCUUCACGUGGGAUAAGGGAGGAUCCAGGCUGGCCAGGCCCAGAUGGUUACAAAUCCCAGUAGCUGGGCGGCCUGCCCAGCAGGGAGCCAGAAGGACACAUGGUUGCAAUGGGCCUGGGGGUUUCUGCUGAGCAAGCAAGGCCCAGGCCCCACACCUGGGCGCUUGAAGCAUAUCUCGAUGGGAAACAGUGCUAUGCCUUGUGGGUGACACUGCCUGUUGGGACUGGACCAGCCACCCGCCUGGCUCUUCAGAACAACAGCAGCCAUCAUUCCUGAGCCCCUCCUUCGAGGCAGAUGCUUCUCUACAUUAACACAUGGAAUCCUUACAAGCUCUUAAAGGAAUGAGCCUGGGGUCCUCCCCCAUCCCUCCUUGGUAUAAAAUCUUUAAGGAAACGCCAACGGAAAAGUACAACUGGCUGCCUGCUCUGCUGUUUUAUUUCCUGAAGGGAAAAUUGCAGUGGCAACAGAAGGUCUUCCCAGGAUACUUUGUAACACAGAAAACAAGGUCUGCUUUGUUAUAGCUACAGAAGAGCUCAUUGCCUGCAUUUCUUUUCACAUGGUUUGCCAGUCAAGAUCUAUUUACUCCAUGGUUUCCUGGCUAAUUAUUUCCAGCAUGGCACUGAUUGAGCUGUUAAUAAAGUGUGAAGGUGCCUUGCA